UACGGAGGGUGCAAGCAUUGAUCGGAAUUACUGGGCGUAAAGGGCGCGUAGGCGGCUUGAUAAGUCAGAUGUGAAAUUCCACGGCUCAACCGUGGAGCUGCAUUUGAAACUGUCUGGCUAGAGCAUAGUUAGGGAAAACGGAAUUCCACGUGUAGCGGUGAAAUGCGUAGAUAUGUGGAAGAACACCAGUGGUGAAGACGGUUUUCUGGGCUAUAGCUGACGCUGAGGCGCGAGAGCUAGGGGAGCAAACAGG
rnacentral:rRNA from 1 species